rnacentral:rRNA from 1 species
AGAGUUUGAUCAUGGCUCAGAGUGAACGCUGGCGGCGUGCUUAACACAUGCAAGUCGAACGAGAACGGGUAUUAGCUUGCUAAUACUGUCAGCUAAGUGGCGCACGGGUGAGUAAUAUAUAGUUAACCUGCCCUAGAGAAGGGGAUAACGUUUGGAAACGGACGCUAACACCCUAUAUGCCUUUAAUACAUAAGUAUGCAAGGGAAACAUUUAUGGCUCUAGGAUGGGGCUGUACGGUAUCAGUUAGUUGGUGAGGUAAUGGCUCACCAAGACAAAGACACCUAACUGGUUUGAGAGGAUGAUCAGUCACACUGGAACUGAGACACGGUCCAGACUCCUACGGGAGGCAGCAGUGGGGAAUAUUGCACAAUGGACGAAAGUCUGAUGCAGCAACGCCGCGUGGAGGAUGACACAUUUCGGUGCGUAAACUCCUUUUAUAUAGGAAGAUAAUGACGGUACUAUAUGAAUAAGCACCGGCUAACUCCGUGCCAGCAGCCGCGGUAAUACGGAGGGUGCAAGCGUUACUCGGAAUCACUGGGCGUAAAGAGCGUGUAGGCGGAUUAAUAAGUUGGAAGUGAAAUCCUAUGGCUCAACCAUAGAACUGCUUUCAAAACUGUUUAUCUAGAAUAUGGGAGAGGUAGAUGGAAUUUCUGGUGUAGGGGUAAAAUCCGUAGAGAUCAGAAGGAAUACCGAUUGCGAAGGCGAUCUACUGGAACAUUAUUGACGCUGAGACGCGAAAGCGUGGGGAGCAAACAGGAUUAGAUACCCUGGUAGUCCACGCCCUAAACGAUGCACACUAGUUGUUGUGAGGCUAGACCUUGCAGUAAUGCAGUUAACACAUUAAGUGUGCCGCCUGGGGAGUACGGUCGCAAGAUUAAAACUCAAAGGAAUAGACGGGGAUCCGCACAAGCGGUG